rnacentral:pre_miRNA from 1 species
CUCUUACUCCCUCCGUUCGGAAUUACUUGUCACAGAAAUGGAUGUAUCUAGACAUAUUUUAGUUGUAGAUACAUCCAUUUUUAUCUACUUUUAAGACAAGUAAUUUGGAAGGGGGAGGGGUAGUUC